GUUAUAGCAGUGUAUCUCAGGCUAGGUUAUAGCAGUGUAUCUCAGGCUAGGUUAUAGCAGUGUAUCUCAGGCUAGGUUAUAGCAGUGUAUCUCAGGCUAGGUUAUAGCAAUGUAUCUCAGGCUAGGUUAUAGCAGUGUAUCUCAGGCUAGGUUAUAGCAGUGUAUCACAGGCUAGGUUAUAGCAGUGUAUCUCAGGCUAGGUUAUAGCAGUGUAUCUCAGGCUAGGUUAUAGCAGUGUAUCUCAGGCUAGGUUAUAGCAGUGUAUCUCAGGCUAGGUUAUAUCAGUGUAUCUCAGGCUAGGUUAUAGCAGUGUAUCUCAGGCUAGGUUAUAGCAGUGUAUCUCAGGCUAGGUUAUAGCAGUGUAUCUCAGGCUAGGUUAUAGCAGUGUAUCUCAGGCUAGUUUAAGGCUAGGUUAUAGCAGUGUAUCUCAGGCUAGGUUAUAGCAGUGUAUC